GAUAGUUCUACUAUUUACUGUAAUUUUUUUUUUAAUUGUUAUCUGUAAUUAGGAAAAUUAAGAUAAGUUUAAUCAAGAGCGGCAUAUGUAAUUAUCUAAAUGCAUCUGUGACGAGUCACGCAUAAAACGUCGAAAAUGCUUUAAAAAUAGAUUAGAAUCUGGGAUUAAAAUAGUAAACAGUCUGGAAAACCCAAACUUUUCAAAAACUGUAAUAGUGAGUAAAUAAAACCGUUUAAUUUUACGCCUAAAACAUAAUAAACACGGUUCCCGGGAACCAAUUCUUCCAUCCACAUGGCGAAAUAUCAUUUCUCUUGUUAAUUAUACAGGAAAAAAAGUUCAGUGGCAAGAAACGGCUAUAAGGAAUUAACCCAAGGUUUCUCUUCGCCUUUUUACCGCGAUAUCGCAUGUAUAACAGAAAAAAUAUAGGGAAAAAACCCCAGAAAGUGUAAAAACGUCGUAAAAAAAAUACACACUGGUUUGACACCACAGAAUAAACGCCGAAAGCCGGUCCAAAAAGUGAUCGAGACAAGACGGGCUGGGUUGGCAACGGCGCAGACGCGUUUUGUUGCAAGACGCCCGCCGGUAGGCAUACUAUACGCACUAUUUUACGGAAUACAUUGUUGAUUAUAUAUUAUUUUUAUAUGAGUACAUAUUUUUAAUAUUAAAAAUAAUAAUUUGAAAACACUUUUAUAAAACAUAUUAAAAUGUAUAUGAUGUAACAAAUCCAGUACUGUCAAGGCAUAUUUAUUAAAAAAAAAAAUUAUUAUUAUUAUUAAAAAAAUAAGAAUUACUGUUAUGUUUUUGGCCUCAAUAUAAAAGUAAUAAUAAGUGUAAAA